UACGUAGGCAGCGAGCGUUGUUCGGAGUUACUGGGCGUAAAGGGUGUGUAGGCGGUUCUUUUAAGUUUGGUGUGAAAUCUCCCGGCUCAACCGGGAGGGUGCGCCGAAUACUGAGGGACUAGAGUGCGGGAGGGAGAGUGGAAUUCCUGGUGUAGCGGUGAAAUGCGUAGAUAUCAGGAGGAACACCGGUGGUGUAGACGGCUUCUCG
rnacentral:rRNA from 1 species